UCACAUGUUUUAUUGCUACGUUAGGUAUAGUAAUGGAGCGUCUAUAUUUACAAUGUCCGGUAUAUCUGCCAGGAAAUUCCAAACAAAGAUAGAAGCUGGCCAGGUUUCCUUGGAUCUGAAGAUGGAAGGGGAUCAGAUUGGGACAGCGAGCUCUCGAAUUAUGAAAGAAAAACAGUGAGGAGAAAUGACAGAGAUAAUAUGAUAAAUUAAUCUACUCAACUUCAUCUUCCGCCUAACCCAUUUUAUCAUUUGAUAUAAACUAAUUACCUUACUAUGUAUCUAUUUUGCAGUGCAAUAUAAUGUCUUCAAAAUACUGAUCAAGGAUCUCAAUGUCCAAGAGGCGGUCAUCAUUGUAAGUUUAUUAGUAAAUUCAUAUUAUGUGAAGCUUUUCGUGUUGAAUUAAGUUGUUAUAUUGUCCAUAAAUAUUGGAUUAUGACUCUCUUUUCUUUGUCUAUAAAUGUUGAAUUGGAAUC